CUUUACUGUAGCCUGGUAUUGGGUUCGGGCUCCGCUUGCGCAGGAUAGGUGGGAGGCACUGAAACACUCCUUGUGGGGAGUGUGGAGCCAACGGUGAGAUACCACUCUAGCGAGGCUAGGAUUCUAACUAGUGGCCGUCAUCCGGCACUAGCACAGUUUCAGGUGGGCAGUUUGACUGGGGCGGUCGCCUCCUAAAAGGUAACGGAGGCGCGCAAAGGUUCCCUCCGGCUGGUUGGAAAUCAGCCCGUGAAGUGCAAAGGCAUAAGGGAGCUUGACUGCAAGAGCCACACCUCGAGCAGGGACGAAAGUCAGCCUUAGUGAUCCGACGGCGCUGAGUGGAAGGGCCGUCGCUCAACGGAUAAAAGUUA
rnacentral:rRNA from 1 species